AGCAGCCGCGGUAAUUCCAGCUCCAAUAGCGUAUAUUAAAGUUGUUGCAGUUAAAAAGCUCGUAGUUGAAUUUCGGGGUUAGUAGAUUGGUCAUGCCUCUGGUAUGUACUGGUCUCACUGAUUCCUCCUUCCUGAUGAACCUUAAUGCCAUUAAUUUGGUGUUUUGGGGAAUUUGGACUGUUACUUUGAAAAAAUUAGAGUGUUUAAAGCAAGCUAACGCUUGAAUACAUUAGCAUGGAAUAAUGAAAUAGGACGUUCGAUCCUAUUUUGUUGGUUUCUAGGAUUGACGUAAUGAUUAAUAGGGAUAGUUGGGGGCAUUAGUAUUCAAUUGUCAGAGGUGAAAUUCUUGGAUUUAUUGAAGACUAACUACUCCGAAAGCAUUUGCCAAGGAUGUUUUCAUUAAUCAAGAACGAAAGUUAGGGGAUCGAAGACGAUCAGAUACCGUCGUAGUCUUAACCAUAAACUAUGCCGACUAGGGAUCGGAUGAUGUUAAUUUCUUAAUGACUCA
rnacentral:rRNA from 1 species